rnacentral:rRNA from 1 species
UACGUAGGGGGCAAGCGUUGUCCGGAUUUAUUGGGCGUAAAGAGCGUGUAGGCGGCCAGGUAGGUCAGCUGUGAAAACUCGAGGCUCAACCUCGAGACGCCGGUUGAAACCAUCUGGCUAGAGUCCGGAAGAGGAGAGUGGAAUUCCUGGUGUAGCGGUGAAAUGCGCAGAUAUCAGGAAGAACACCCGUGGCUAAGGCGGCUCUCUAGUACGGUACUGACGCUGAGACGCGAAAGCGUGGGGAGCGAGCAGG